GACGUAGGGCGCGAGCGUUGUCCGGAUUUAUUGGGCGUAAAGAGCUCGUAGGCGGCUCAUUGCGUCAACCGUGAAAACCAGCAGCUCAACUGUUGGCUUGCGGUUGAUACGGGUGGGCUGGAGUUCGGUAGGGGAGACUGGAAUUCCUGGUGUAGCGGUGAAAUGCGCAGAUAUCAGGAGGAACACCGGUGGCGAAGGCGGAUCUCUGGGCCAUUACUGACGCUGAGGAGCGAAAGCGUGGGGAGCGAACAGG
rnacentral:rRNA from 1 species